UGAUAUCUAACCAUACAAUGAAUACUUUUGUAAUUAAUCAAACCUUUGACAUAUAUUUUUGACUAUUUCCAACGAACAAGCUAGCUAUCGAAAAGUGUCAGCGUGUGUAGUUAAAUUAGCCUGCUAACGUCUCCAUAGCUAGUAGCAUGUAAUCAGGACAUGACCAAACUGUUGCUGAGAUAAUAGAUGUUGAAACUUCCAAGGAGAAAAGAGGCAUUGUUGAAACUCACUCAUAUGCUUGCAGUGUAAAAAAGGGGGGUGAAUGCGAUUCAUAACCGAAUACCCCAACCAAGGAGCAGCUUCCAUUUGACAAAGAAGCUCUGAAUCGUCUGUGGCCGAUAACUGAGAGAGCAAGGAAGGAAGGGAAAAGGGGAUACUUUGCGGGAGCUAAGGCUUUUGUUAAUGGAAGGGAAAUUCGCGCUGACGCCUAGUUUGUUGACUGCUGGACUUGUCAAGAUCACGUUGUUGUUGUCAGCGUAGAAGAGUACAGAGAUGGGACUGAGCUUGGUGGUUGUGCAGCACGCUUUGGGAACCUCAUCCGGCUUCAGAAGGUGAACCUGCCAUUGAAAACGGGUUGGGAGGAGGACAUGCUGCCUGAGGAGAGGGAGGUUCCUCUGGUAAACCUCUACCUAACCACCAAGAGAGUGGAGGACAUCGCCCUGAGGCUCGUCUCCCUGCGCCAGGCCUUCACUACCCUGCUUGGUUCCACCCUGAGCAGGAACCAUCUGUUUGUGGCGGGAAAGGUCCUCCUGGGCGCACUGGUUCGGGCCAACCACAUGGACGAGGCCAAGUUCAUCCGUACUUAUAACGACUUUGUGGACUACCUGAGUGACCCCUCCAAGCGGAAUGACACUGAGAGGGAGCUGGCUGAGGCAAAGAUCCAUCAUGUGAACAUGAUAGAUGUCCUCUUUGAGCUGGUGCUGUUUGGGAUGAUGACAGCUCAGAAGUCCCUGAUGGUCCACGCCGGUGGGUUUGUGGAGGAUCUGUACGCUCUCCUGUACUCCUUCCUGCCCACUGCUGCCAACAUGGAGCCAGAGGCUGACAGAUACCUGCUGCUGCUCAAUUCGAAGCAAAGAGGAGCACGACUGAAACCUCCGCGCGAUGCUGCAAAGGUCCCGCGAGAGAGGAGUCCGGCUCAACCCGAGAAGAGCACAGUCGGCGCUACAGAGGUCAGCUACUUCGGACAUCUUCUCACAGCGACUGGAAUCAAGCCAGAUCCACAGAAGAUCUCAACCAUAAAAGAAAUGGAGCCACCAAAGAACCGUGCAGAGCUGGAAACAGUGCUUGGCAUGGUCAACUACUUAGCCAAGUUCGCACCCAGCCUCUCCAAUGCUAAUGCACCCCUGCAUCAACUGCUAAAGCAGUCCAGUGAGUUUCUCUGGGACAAGCAACACGACAUUGCUUUCCAGAAAUGUGAAAGACUUGAUCACGAGAGAACCAGGAACAAUCCUUGCCUACUACGACCCCGACAAAGAGCUCAGACUCCAAGUAGACGCAUCGAAGUAUGGACUAGGUGCAGUGCUACUGCAAGAAGGAAAGCCCAUCGGCUACGCUUCCAAAUCUCUCACAGAUUGUGAAAUCAACUACGCUCAAAUUGAAAAGGAGGUCUAUGCCAUUCUGUUCGGAUGUAAACGUUUCCAUCAGUACGUAUAUGGACGACAAGUCAUUGUGGAAUCCGAUAUGUCUUGAACGACGCCCCUCAAACACCAAAGAGCCAAUGUUACCUCACUGUAUCCCAGACCGACCCUGGAAGGUCGUGGCAACCGAUCUGUUCACCUGGAACAACAAGAACUACAUCAUAACAGUUGACUACUACAGCAGAUACUUCGAACUCGACAAGCUUCACAGCACCACAUCUGCAGCUGUGAUACACAAGCUGAAAGCAGCCUUUGCCAGGCAUGGCAUUGUAGAGACUUUAAUAUCUGACAAUGGGCCCUGUUACAAAUCAAAUGAGUUUGAAUCCUUCACAAAAGCAUGGGAGUUUACGCGUCACCACAAGCCCACAUUACCCUCAAAGUAAUGGCCUUGCUGAAAAAUCAGUGCAGAUUGCUAAAUCACUCAUGGAUAAAGCAGACAAGAGAGACCCCUACCUCAGCCUCCUUGAAUACCGCAACACUCCAGAUGACAACUUAAAAUCACCAGCCCAGCUGUUGAUGAGCCGCAGACUUCGCUCAAUCCUUCCCAGCACCAACCAGCAGCUACAACCUGAGGUCGUCAGCUACAAGGAAAUGCAUGAAAAACGUGCACAGAGACAACAACAACAAAAGCGAUACUACGACAGGUCAGCUAGACCACUGCCACCACUGAUCGACGGAGAGUCAGUUUUAAUCCAGGAGCAUGGCCUCUGGAAGCCAGCAGUCGUCAUCCAGCCAGCUGACACUGAACGUUCAUAGCACGUCCUCACCGCAGAAGGAGCAGUGUACCGCCGCAAUCGUCGUCACCUACUGAACACAAAAGAACAACACACUGAUGAGAUGAACUGUUCCCCUGAAAGAGAACGUGAUGGACUAAACACACACAUCACAACAUACACCAUACUUACCUGCAACACCACAAGAGCUGUUGACUGACACAGAAGCAUGCUCAGCAUCAUAUCGCACAAGGUCAGGAAGAGAGGUCAAGCCCAGAGCUGUCCUAGAACUGUGAAAUGUCAAAGGGUGUAGGCGGAUCGCUGCCCUAAAAGAGUUCCACACUGUAAACUUGUUAUUGAAAGUUCACUUGAAAUGCUUUGGUAUUGUAUUUGUUUGAAAUGUUAAGAUGUAUUUCUACUGUGAAAGCUGAGUUGCUGAGAAUCCCUUGUUCGAAAAGUAACAGUAUGUUGGACCAUUGUUUCAGAGUCUAUGUUGAUUCAGUUGGUGUAGUAUAAAAUAUAAAUGGUUACUUACCUUGAGUUCAAACUGCAGAGCAUGUUUUCAAAAGAAACGCUUAGAAUAUGUAAACAUUUUUCUUUUGUUUUAAAAGAAGGGGGAUGUAAUAUUCAUAUGUGUAAACAUACUGAGUAAUAAUUGGAUGCGUUUUACCGCCAUAUCAUACUGUGCUAUGAUUGGUUAAGACCACCCAAAUGGUUAGGUCAUGGUCAGUUUGAUCCUGGUUGGCGAUACGUGAACAUGCCAGUUAUAGCUAGCUAAUAAAGAGCUAUGUUAAGAAACAUCCUGUAGUACUGCAUUUUAUUAUUUUGUACAAAGUGUGCAAAACAAGACAGUGCAGACGAGGAAUGCAGUGUGCUCCUGUGCCGGGGCAAAGCUUUCAGCGAUUUCACCGGACCAGACUGUCGGUUUCUGUCAUUUAAAAAAGGAGAGACUAUAUAUGUCU